AAAAGAAAACAUAUUUUAGCUUGUGGAUAAUGCAUAUGAUUACUCAUUUUUACAUUAAUUGUAUUUGUUCUUGUUUUCCAGGUUAUGAAGCCUGGAGUAGCCCUUGAGUUCAAACAUGUGGUCUUCAAGUAGUGUCUUUGGCAUGUAGUAUUUUCAUGGAACUGCAUCUUUCAGUAGUGGGACAUUUGAAGUGGUCAAAGACUGGAUUUGAAAACUGGCACCCCUCCAGAGUGUUCACAAUCAAGUAUGAGCUUUGGAUCACCCCUGCUUGGGAUCCCAGGAACAUCUACAGAGUUGCACCUUACCAGCCUUCUUCUCAAUUGUGGACUCAAACAAAUCUGAGUUCCCAGGAUUUCUUCCCUGAAGCCAUAAAGAGAAAGCUGUGUCUUCAGAGCAAGAGAAAAAAACACAGAACAGGUAAUUAUCCUGUUAAUUUUAAGGGUAUAAUUUUAGGCCCCAAGGUAGAUAGUUUUCAUUGGAGUUACCCAGUUUGGCUGCACAGUGAAAGCCAAAGACAACAUUAGUAAAGUAGACUUUUGUUUGUUUCCAGAUCUUCGGCUCUACUCUUUCCGAAAGUGGCUUGAGCUCUGAGGAUGAAUUCUCAGCUUGCCAGGUAUCCCCUUGGAGUGCAAGGACAUCUCUGCACUGCUCUUCGGCAGGAAAGCAAUGGCAUUGUAUAAACUGUACCAAGGGGACAGAGUGUGAUUAAAAACAUUUGUGGCACAUCGUUAAAUAUAGAAAUCAUUAUAAUUGGAUUAAUUUAGGAAAUACACUGUGAUGCCUGGGUUUCCCCCAGAGAACUAGAUGUACAGGAAGAAGUAAAUUUUCAAAAGGUACAGAGUUGACAUUCCCUCAUAAAAAUGUGGAUUCCAUAAUUUUAGACUCCCUUAAUCCCCAGCUCUGCUGAAGUCUACAUUGGCACUGGGUGAUUAAUUUUACUUGAGUCACGACUGUCUUUUCUCAAAAUUCUGUGUGUGAAUAGCUGCAGAUAAAUACAAUGCUUCUCUAUGAAAAUGUGGUCCUAUCCUGGUCCUGUAUGCUCACUUAGAAUCCCAGGACAGGUGCAGCAGAUACUGGAAGACUAGGAGUUCAAGGCCAUCCUUGGCUGUAUAGCAAGUUUGAAAGCAACCUGUGUGACAUGAAAACCUGUUUAAAAAAGAAACAAAUGAACAAGUCAAUGUGGCCCUAAAUAUACAAGUAACCUUUGAAAAUGCCAUUAGAAGGUCCAUCUGGGCAACAUUAGACCCAAUUCGUCGUUUUUCUUUGGCCUAGAGAGAUGACUCAGCAGUUAAGAUUUUGAACUGUUCUUACCUACGACCCAAAUUCGGUUUCCAGUAACAUCAUCAGAUGGCUCCCUAGACCCGUAAUGUCAGUUUUAGCGGGUCUAGUGCCAUUUUCUGGACUCUCCUGGUACCUGCCCUCAUUUGUGCUCUCUGUCUCCCUGUCUCUCAGUCUCUCUCUCAUAUCUCUUUCUCUGACACACACACACACACACACACACACACACACACACACACAAUAAAAUCAUUUUUUUUUCUGUUUUUGGUUUUUCG
rnacentral:lncRNA from 1 species